GGUUUAUAAAGAAGAGGGGAGAGAAUGGGCUCAGCGAUCCUCUGGCAACCUGUUGUAGCGACAAGGUGCUAACUCCCACCUAAGUAAUUAGGGAAUAUAAAAC
rnacentral:ncRNA from 2 species